GACGAACGCUGGCGGCGUGCCUAAUACAUGCAAGUAGAACGCAGUUGCGAACGUGUGAGUAACGCGUAGGUAACUGCCUGGUAGCGGGGGAUAACUAUUGGAAACGCUAGCUAAUACCGCAUACUACCAGAUGGACUUGUUUUGGAUUAGCUAGUUGGUGGGGUAACGGCUUACCAAGGCAACGAUACAUAGCCGACCUGAGAGGGUGGUCGGCCACAAUUGGGCUGAGACACGGCCCAGAAUCCUACGGGAGGCAGCAGUAGGGAAUAUUCGGAAAUGGAAGGAAGUCUGACCGAGCAACGCCGCGGGAGUGAAGAAGGUUUUCGGAUCGUAAAGCUCUGUUGUAAGAGAAGCGGUAUCUUACCAGAAAGGGACGGCUAACUACGUGCCAGCAGCCGCGGUAAUAC
rnacentral:rRNA from 1 species